ensembl:misc_RNA
UUGACAACCCUGGAGACUGGAGCCCUCCCUCUGUCCCUAGAGCAAGUACAGCACAUGCAGCAUCAGUGGAAGCUUUCAUGCCUCCUGGCAAAGUGCCUCAACCCUGAGCAAGAAGGACCCAACUCUGGGGGUUGAGAGGGAAGUUCAUUCCCCAUGUCCUUUAAGUUCUUGGCCUCU